rnacentral:lncRNA from 1 species
CUGGAUGGUGGGAUUUUAUUUUUGUCUUCAUCUUUAGUGCAACAGUAGCAGUACAUGAGGCCACACUCACUGGUGAACAAGUCAAGCAAUAGUCAUUUCUCCAGCCUUAUCUAAGACAUAGGUAACACCUGGGGUUAGACACUAAUGCAGCCAGAACUCACCACCAGGUUCAAGCAGAAAAGAUUACCAAAAAGAUGUCUGCAUCUCAGCCUCUAAUCAAUCCAUUUUCUCUUUUGCCUGCAUCUCUUUGGUGCUGCUAUUGCCUUUCUGAACACUAACAGAGGGACUUGACACACUGAUUGCAAUAGUUAUGCUCAAAACUGUAUGAGCAACCCUAAGUCUGGCUUCUUUUCUCCUGUUCCAGGUUGCAAUGAUGUCUGGCCUUUCUCUGACAGACUGCAGGAAGAGGGAACAAGAUGGGUGGAAAAGCAGUGGAGAAUGUGGCCAAGAUGUGUUUAGAGGGGCUCCCCAAAUUCUGCUGUGUAAAGUACAUUCAGGGUGCCCAAAGCUGUCCAUCUUUAGAGAUUACUCAUGUGUGACAUCUCAGGGGUAGCUUUUACCCUUGCUGGAUCAGUGCAGUCCUUUCCCAUGAGCCCAGCCCAGUCCCUUGCCCCAGCACACGAGGCUGCCCCUCAUGCUGGCCACGCGUGAGCUCCACGGGAACCAGGCAGGAGUGUCUGGGCUCAGCGCUGGCAGCUGUGGUGACAAGCAAAUGAAGUGUUGGCAGACAAAUGCUGGAGCUCUGUCUCUUGAAAAAUUCCAGUAAGAAGGGUCUCCCAGGGAUGUGCUGCAGCAUCACUCACCGGCUGUUUUCCUUUGCCAAAGGCACUCCAGAUUCGAAGGGCUCAGUCCUCAGGAUGCCAGUGAAUAAAUGGCUGAUGGUUAUCUCCCCCUGUUGGCUGAAGGUCAACUUCGGUGUGUCAGGGAUUAGGAGAAUCUCCAGGCUGCCAGAAAGCUCUUACCAAAAGCAGGCAUCUUCUAGAUCAUCUGACGGAAUCUCAUGCAUUAUCUAAACGGGAAGAGGAACUUGAAACAAACUUUCCCAUGUCUCUUGUAAUACUGUUGAGUGCCAAAAAAUUACUGGGAUGUUUUCUACAAGUACUUUUUCUGUAGAAAAUUCUACUCUAAACCUACUGAGUUUUCAUAGUUAAUCUUCCAUGACUGAUAGGAGAAGUUUGGG